rnacentral:tRNA from 1 species
AUUUUUAUAGUAUAAUAAAUACAUUACAUUUUCACUGUAAAAUUAAAGGCUAACCUUUUAAAAAUU